rnacentral:sRNA from 1 species
UUUACUGAAAUUUGAUGACCUAGAUGGAACACAUGCUCUGAUGUCCCGCAUGGUUCAGAAUGAGACCCCCUACUUCAUCUGGACCACUCGGCGGGAUGUGCUCGACUGUCGCUUCCUCUCCAAGGAUCAGAUGAUAAACCACUACGCCCGGGCUGGCUCCUUUACCACAAAGGUGGGUCUAUGUCUCAAUCUCCGGAAUUUGCCGUGGUUUGAUGAGGUUGAUGCCAACUCCUUCUUCCCACGCUGCUACCGCCUGGGGGCUGAGGAUGACAAAAAAGCCUUCAUAGGUAAGGAGACCCCCAGCCCUAUGCCUGAACCUCAGGCUGACAGAGCAGGGCUGAAGCUCUGGCUCAUAUUGGAGAGAAACAGGCCUCUCUUCAUGCCCUCAUCUGCCUGCCCCAGCAGAUUUCCUUUUCCACCCUCAAUCCUUAUCCUUCCCUAAUGUGCCCUCCCUUAAUAAGCCUCUUAGCUUGGUCAACUCUGACCUCCAGAAAAGCUUGGGUAUCUUGGCUUAUAUUCUAGAGCAGGUUCUAAAAGUUGGUCAGUCCCUUGAGUUUGGAAUCCAGAACAGAUUCCAGGCUUAUAUCAAGUUCCAUUUGUUGAAUUGGGUUCCAAAAAGGGCUGCAGGCUUUGGAUUUCUAAGGCAGACUAGGUUCCGAUUCCACAAUAUGUUCUAAAUUGAGGUUAGAAUUUGGAUCCAGAUUCUAUGCUAGAUUUAAAUUACAUUCAGAAUCUGAACUAGGACACAGUCUGGUUCUCAGGAUAGAAUAAGUAUCAAAAGUAGGUGAUGAACAGAAGAAACAAAUCAGACAAUGGGUCCAAGCCAGAUUCUGAAGGCAGAAUAUGAUCCAAGUCAGGUCAGAUUUGGGGUCUGGUUACACAACUGAAACAGGAGCAAGUUCUUUUUUUUUUUUGAGAUGGAGUCUCGCUCUGUCACCCAGGCUGGGGUGCAGUGGCGCGAUCUUGGCUCAUUGCAAGCUCCGCCUCCCGGGUUCCCGCCAUUCUCCUGCCUCAGCCUCCGGAGUAGCUGGGACUACAGGCGCCCGCCAUCACGCCCGGCUAAUUUUUUGUAUUUUUAGUAGAGACGGGGUUUCACUGUGUUAGCCAGGAUGGUCUCGAUCUCCUGACCUCAUGAUCCAUCCACCUCAGCCUCCCAAAGUGCUGGGAUUACAGGCGUCAGCCACCGCGACCAGCCUGAAACAGGAGCAAGUUCUAAACUCAGGCUCUAGAGUCAGAAAAGGUAGAGUCAGGUUCUGGAUCCAAAAUGGGGCAAGUCAUGAUCAGGUUCUGGAACCAGAACAGGCCUCAAGCCUAGGGGCUGAGCAGGGUAUCCCCUGGCCUGGGAGCAGAGGACUUCUGGCUGACUGCUGCCCGCAACGUUCUCAAGCUGGUGGUGAAGUCUGAGUGGAAGUCAUACCCUAUUCAGGCAGUAGAGGAAGAGGCCUCAGGUAAGUACUGUGGUUACCUCCACUCUCCCACCCAUUUAUCCUCCACCCAUCCGCCCUUCCACCUAUCUGCCCUUCUACCUAUCUAUUCAUCCACGCACCUACUGGUUCAUCCACACAUCUGUGUAUGAUUCACAUCUACCCAUCUAUCCAUCCAUCCACCAGCCAUCCAUCCACUCAUCCACCCACGUAUUCACCCACUCUCUGAUCUACCGAUUCACCCACCCACCCUUCCACUCAUCCUUCCAUCCUCCCACCUGUCACCCAUUGUUAAUCUCUUCAUUCAUCUGCCUGAUGUCAGCUCCAUACUCCCCAUCCAUCUAUCCACUCCCUGCCUACCUAUCCUUCCACAGAUCCACCUACCCAUCUAUCUACCUGCUAUUCCAUUCUCCCAUCUACUACCUAUCUGUUCUCCAGUCCAUCCACUCAUCCAUUCUUCUGUCCCAGGUACCUAGACACUUGUCUUCCCAUCCAUUUGUUAGUUGAUCCACUCCUCAUUCAGCCCUCCCAUGGGCCUGGCAUGUAGCCGAGCACCCUGGAGAGGGCAGACUAAGAAGACAUGGUCCGUCCCUGCCUGUGAGGAGUUCAGGUCUCUGAGGAGGAGGAAGCAGUGAAACUGGGCUUUACACAUGGCCUAAGAACAGCUUAGGCCUGAACAUAAGGAACAGCUUGGAGUGGAGGGGGACACAGAGGAACCCUCACUAUCAUGCAUGCCAACCCAACCACUGCCUGCCCUUUCCCUUUCUGGAUUUAGCUCGUGUCUCCAGGCUCCUAGUCCUGUAAUCCAGGGACCCAUCAGCGAGGGAUUCAGGGAAGCAGAGGCAGCUCUCCAGGAAGGAGGAAAAUCCCUGCCUCUUCCAGAGAGAGACUCCCCCAUUGCUGUCUCUUGUGUGUGUCAUGCACAAGGAAGGCUUGGUUGUGUGCCAGGAUAAGGGGCACAAGGGCCUCGGGUGUGGCCAGAGACCCCGUGCUUAAGCUUUUAUGGUAUAGGUCAGGCUGCAGGGGUUUGAGGGCCUCAGUUGUAUAUCAGGAUCUUCAGAGCACUGCGAUGUUCAGGGGUGAGUCAGGUCUGUAGAUGUGCACGGGGUCUUCUGAAGGGUUAGUUUCUGUAAUCACUUUCAGGUGUGUCAGGGCCUUGUGCAGUAACAGUGCACACAGAAGUUAGUGUUUCUGUGGGCUAAGGGUUGUAGCUCUGUAUCAGGAUUCUGGGAGUGGGUCUGGAUUUCUGGUGUGUGGACUUAAGAAGCUGUGUCAGACUUGGGGGAGGGGCGUUCAUGUAUAACUGGGUUCACAUAGGCCAAGACUCCCAGGUGCAUUUUAGGCAGAGCCUCAGGUGUGUUAGAGGUCCCAGGGGCAGAGAGGCUAUAGGUGCUGUCAGAGGCCUUGGGGACAUUUAGGGCGGAGCCUCGAGUGACAGGUCCUGGGACAGUGGGAGCCAAGGGCAAGUGCUAGAGUUGCAGUGAAUUUAGAGCAAAGCCUCAGCUAAGUGACACAUCCCAGGGCAGUAGGGGAUCUAUCUAGGUUCGUGCUGGGCCUCAGGUAAGUGACAGGCCUUAGGACAAUGGGGGCUGUGGCAUGCGUCAGGUUACCUGCCUUGAUAUGGGAUCGUGACAGGCCCCUCCCUAUGUGCAGGAGACAAGCAGCCCAAGAAACAGGAGAAAAACCCAGUGUUGGUGUCCCCAGAGUUUGUGGAUGAAGCUCUGUGUGCGUGCGAGGAGUACCUUAGCAACUUGGCCCACAUGGACAUCGACAAGGACCUGGAGGCCCCACUGUACCUCACCCCCAAGGGCUGGUCCCUCUUCCUCCAGCGCUACUACCAAGUGGUCCACGAAGGGGCAGAACUCAGGCACCUCGACACUCAGGUCCAGCGCUGUGAGGACAUCCUGCAGCAGCUGCGGGCCGUGGUACCCCAGAUAGACAUGGAAGGGGAUCGCAACAUCUGGAUCGUGAAGCCAGGAGCCAAGUCCCGCGGACGAGGCAUCAUGUGCAUGGACCACCUGGAGGAGAUGCUGAAGCUGGUGAACGGCAACCCCGUGGUGAUGAAGGACGGCAAGUGGGUGGUGCAGAAGUAUAUUGAGCGGCCCCUCCUCAUCUUUGGCACCAAGUUUGACCUCAGACAGUGGUUCCUGGUAACUGACUGGAACCCACUUACCGUGUGGUUCUACCGCGACAGCUAUAUCCGCUUUUCCACGCAGCCCUUCUCCCUGAAGAACCUGGACAACUUCCAAGUUGUUUGAAUCUGGUCAUGUGAAAACCUAUUUAAGCCUUGGUUUCCACAUCCGAAGAAUGGAGGUCUGAAGAAAAAUAUAAAAAACAGUGAAGUGGGUACUGUUACUACCCCCAUUUUGCAGAUGUGAAGAGCACACAGACACUGGGAUGGUUAACCGAGACUAUGCACAAAGCACUUACUACUGCGGCCCCCGUAACUAGCGCCCUCAGAGCAGCCCUGAGAGAUAAGAGUGGUUCUGGCCCUAGAAGAAUGUGGUGGGGCCCAGGCCUCUGUCCUUUUUGUCCUUCCCAGUAGGGCCCCAUCUCAAGUUGAAUAGCGCAGGGUGGCCCAGGGCUGCUUCCAGGACUUGCCUGUCCUCCCUGAGUUUGGAUGGGAGAGACACAAGGGCCUGGACCUCAGUUUUCUGCUCUCUGCCUCAGCUCAGUGCACCUGUGCAACAACUCCAUCCAGAAGCACCUGGAGAACUCAUGCCAUCGGCAUCCACUGCUUCCGCCAGACAACAUGUGGUCUAGCCGGAGGUUCCAGGCCCACCUGCAGGAGAUGGGUGCCCCAAAUGCUUGGUCCACCAUCAUCGUGCCUGGCAUGAAGGAUGCUGUGAUCCACGCACUUCAGACCUCCCAGGACACCGUGCAGUGUCGGAAGGCCAGCUUUGAGCUCUAUGGCGCUGACUUCGUGUUCGGGGAGGACUUCCAGCCCUGGCUGAUUGAGAUCAACGCCAGCCCCACGAUGGCACCCUCCACAGCAGUCACUGCCCGGCUCUGUGCUGGCGUGCAAGCUGACACCCUGCGCGUGGUCAUUGACCGGAGGCUGGACCGCAACUGUGACACAGGAGCCUUUGAGCUCAUCUAUAAGCAGCCUGCUGUGGAGGUGCCUCAAUAUGUGGGCAUCCGGCUCCUGGUAGAGGGCUUCACCAUCAAGAAGCCCAUGGCGAUGUGUCAUCGGCGGAUGGGGGUCCGCCCAGCAGUCCCUCUGCUGACCCAGCGAGGCUCUGGGGAAGCCGAGGUAUCAGGAAGUUUAAGGAAGUUGCCCAAGGUUGCACAGCUCAGAAGGGGCACAGCUGGGAUGCAGACCCAGCCCCUCACCACUUCCCCAGCCUCCACACCAAGGCCCAGCUGCCUUCUCCCCAUGUACUCCGACACCAGGGCCAGGUCCUCAGACGACAGCACAGCAAGCUGGUGGGCACUAAGGCCCUGUCGACCACAGGCAAGGCCUUGAGGACUCUACCCACGGCUAAGGUCUUCAUUUCCCUCCCACCUAACCUUGAUUUCAAGGUGGCACCCAGCAUCCUGAAGCCAAGAAAGGCUCCUGCUCUCCUGUGCCUCCAAGGCCCCCAGCUGGAAGUGCCUUGUUGCCUCUGCCCUUUGAAGUCGGAACAAUUCCUAGCACCUGUCAGAAGGUCAAGGCCAAAGGCAAAUUCAAGGCCAGACUGUGACAAACCCAGGGCUGAGGCCUGCCCCAUGAAGAGGCUGAGCCCCCUGAAACCCCUGCCCCUUGUUGGUACAUUCCAGAGGCGCAGGGGCCUGGGGGAUAUGAAGCUAGGGAAGCCCUUGCUUCGAUUCCCCACUGCCCUUGUCCUGGAUCCAACACCAAAUAAAAAGAAACAAGUGAAGU